CAUGCAAGUCGAACGGCAGCGCGGGAGCAAUCCUGGCGGCGAGUGGCGAACGGGUGAGUAAUACAUCGGAACGUGCCCAAUCGUGGGGGAUAACGCAGCGAAAGCUGUGCUAAUACCGCAUACGAUCUACGGAUGAAAGCAGGGGAUCGCAAGACCUUGCGCGAAUGGAGCGGCCGAUGGCAGAUUAGGUAGUUGGUGAGGUAAAGGCUCACCAAGCCUUCGAUCUGUAGCUGGUCUGAGAGGACGACCAGCCACACUGGGACUGAGACACGGCCCAGACUCCUACGGGAGGCAGCAGUGGGGAAUUUUGGACAAUGGGCGAAAGCCUGAUCCAGCCAUGCCGCGUGCAGGAUGAAGGCCUUCGGGUUGUAAACUGCUUUUGUACGGAACGAAACGGCCUUUUCUAAUAAAGAGGGCUAAUGACGGUACCGUAAGAAUAAGCACCGGCUAACUACGUGCCAGCAGCCGCGGUAAUACGUAGGGUGCAAGCGUUAAUCGGAAUUACUGGGCGUAAAGCGUGCGCAGGCGGUAAUGUAAGACAGUUGUGAAAUCCCCGGGCUCAACCUGGGAACUGCAUCUGUGACUGCAUUGCUGGAGUACGGUAGAGGGGGAUGGAAUUCCGCGUGUAGCAGUGAAAUGCGUAGAUAUGCGGAGGAACACCGAUGGCGAANGCAUCCUCUGGACCUGUACUGACGCUCA
rnacentral:rRNA from 1 species